UACAGAGGUGCGAGCGUUGUCCGGAAUCACUGGGCGUAAAGGGCGCGUAGGUGGCGCCCCAAGUCCGUGGUGAAAGCUCGAUGCUCAACAUCGAGUCGGCCACGGAAACUGGGGGCUCGAGCACUGUAGAGGCAGAGUGGAAUUCCGGGUGUAGCGGUGGAAUGCGUAGAGAUCCGGAAGAACACCGGUGGCGAAGGCGGUCUGCUGGG
rnacentral:rRNA from 1 species